rnacentral:tRNA from 1 species
GGUCUUGUAGUGUAGUUGGUUAUCACAUCGGAUUCUGAUCUUCAGUUCAGAAUUCACACUUCCGGUAACCCCGGUUCGAAUCCGGGCAGGACCU